CACAGCACAGAUUCACAUGUCAAAAAAAAAUUAAAUCAUGCAAAUCAAUUUAAUGUAAACUUGUAUUGGAACAAUCUCAUCAAAUACUGUGUAUAACAGUAUUAAACCAAACUCCAUUGCUGAUUUCAGAAUGGAACCCAAGCCCUAGCAUCCAGGGAAAUCCAUUAAGUUCGAGUUAUUGUAUCGCACAGGUCAAGAAACGCAUCAAUAUUACAAAAAACUUAAAUCAAAUUCACAGAUGCCUUACCCACACCUUUUGAGGCUUUGAUACUAGAUUUGUCAGGAUAUUGUCACCCAAUCGAGAUAAUAUUUAGAAAUCAAACCACAAACAGUCAAAAACCAAUGCAAGAAAAGGUCACCCAGUUCAGCAAAAACUUACUCUGAGGGUUCAGAGAUAAGAGUCUGUCAAUGUGUGCAAGAACCUCACAAAAGAGAGUUUAAGUUUAGAGUACAACAAUUUGACCACCUAGAUCACGAAUCUAUAAAGGAUCUUACAAAAACUACUUCCAAUCGACACAAGACCAAGACAUAACUAUAGUAAGUUCUUUACAGUUCAAAAUCGACCAAAAGGCCCUAAAAACAUCCUGUCAAGAACACUAGACACAAGCCGAAUACAACUUGAAAUCACCACAGACCACAGGCCACAUAUCAAAGGCCAAGAUCUGAUUACAGCCAUAAAGAAGAAAUUCCAUAUCUGAAGUUGAGAAAUCAGAUUUACAGUGAUAGAAAGAGAAUUGUCAGGGAGAUGGAACCAUAGGCUAAAAUGAAAUAAUGAAUGAAUGAAUCCUUCAAACUGGGCCGUCCCAAGAGUCAAGGGAUUUCAAUUAAUCCACGGCCAUUGAUCUUCGUCAACGGUCCAGAUGAGUUGCCAAGAAACACACAUUCGGAUGAAGGCAAAUAAGCCAAUCCUUGUGUGCCAAGUGGAUAGCAAGUUAAAAAACAUUUUUCU
rnacentral:lncRNA from 1 species